UACGAGGGGGGCGAGCGUUGUUCGGAAUUACUGGGCGUAAAGGGCGCGUAGGCGGCCGAUCAAGUCAGAUGUGAAAGUCCUGGGCUUAACCUGGGGACUGCAUUUGAUACUGAUUGGCUUGAAUUCGGGAGAGGAUAGCGGAAUUCCCAGUGUAGAGGUGAAAUUCGUAGAUAUUGGGAAGAACACCGGUGGCGAAGGCGGCUAUCUGGACCGACAUUGACGUUGAGGCGCGAAAGCGUGGGGAGCAAACAGG
rnacentral:rRNA from 1 species